CUUUCUUAGCCAGAUUGCUCUAGUCGCUCACAAGGGGGAGAUUGGACUAUGAAAAAAGAUUACUGCUGCAGCUUGCAUUCCUGCUGCAAGGGCCUCCUCUUCAGACGGCCUUUGCCAGAGCAGAACUUUUCAAAAUGCUUCAAAUAGGAUCUUCUUUUUUUCUCCUUUAUUUAAGCCUUCUUCUUUUUUAAAAAAAAAUGGGACUAAUUUUUCUUGUUUUCUGUGCUGUGCUUGGCUGUACAGUAUAUUGCAAUGUUGAGGUUAAAGCUACAAGUAUUUCUACCACCACCCCCGCUGAUACAUUUUUUUUUCGGUCUUGGUUAAAGAAAUUGAUUUAUUUGACUGAGCAAUGAAUCAGGAUUUGCUAGUUUGUAUGCUGUGAGAAUGAUGGCUUUUAUUUGCAGUUUUUUUUCUGAGUGCCAAUUUCCUGUGCUGCUCAUGGAACCAGCUUCUUUCUUUCUGUAUAUUUUUUAAUUGCUUCAGGUAUCUGUGGUACAUGAACCAGGAUGGAUGAUAGCCCUCCAACCCCCUUGUAAUCUGACCGUGGCUGAAAUGGAAAUACUGCAGGGCUUUUUUGUCCUUGCAGGGUCCCUCCCCUCCCUUUCUUUCACUGUUUAGGAGGGAAAAGGGGUGUGCAGUAAAAUGCUGUCUCUGGGACAGGUGCCAGCUCCAAGACAAAAGGAAUAAAAUAGGCGGCAAACGGGGAAAAUUAAUAGUCAACAAAAAUAGGAAUUGGAAAUGUUCUCCUAUUGUUGUUGCUGGGAGCUGGCAGCCAGGGGUAGUUGUGGCAGGGAAAGCAUGUGGAUGAGAAGCUGGAACCGGUUGCUAGGUAAGGACCGCCUUCCCUUCUUCCAGGCCUGCAUGCACUUGCACAAUCAAGAAAUGCCAUGGAGCUCACUCAGUGUCUUCCAUCUGCUUUUACAGGAGACUGCAGAACUGCAAGGUGAACACAUUGGCAUCCUCUCUCCAUAUCUGGUCCCUGAGGCUUGUUUCCCACCAUUCACAGGUAUGUCUGUCUCAGAUUGCACCCAAAAAGAUGCAGUAGUUAUUUGGCAAGAUGAAAUCAAGGCACACAAAGAAAAGGCUCCUGAGAAUCCAUUGAGAGGCUUUCAGGCCCUCAGAAGUUGUACCAACCAGAAUCCACUGUCAACUACCUUGGGCAUGUGCCUGCUCUGA
rnacentral:lncRNA from 1 species